GGCUGUGAGGACAAUCUGCUUGGUGCAUCUGUUGCCCCAUGGAUUGCCAAGCGAUCAGGAGACCUGCGUGGUAUUCUUUCUCUUCGUUCCAUGUGCAUCCUUCCUGAGGCUGUGGCCUGUGUCCAAGAGGAUGACCUUCCUAGAAAGAGGAGGGCAGCUCUUCAGGCAGAGAAAUAGAAGUAGCCACUUCCAUCUCUUAGAACCUGCAACUACCGAUUUAAAUGGUGUGUGUGUAGUUAGUGAAACCACCAUAGUGUGUACCAAAAAAAAAAAAAAGCUAAACUCAUUGCCUUU
ensembl:misc_RNA 7SK 7SK RNA